rnacentral:rRNA from 1 species
GAUGAACGCCGGCGGUGUGCCUAAUACAUGCAAGUCGAGCGCACUGGCCCAACUGAUAUGACGUGCUUGCACUGAAUUGACGUUGGAUUCCCAGUGAGCGGCGGACGGGUGAGUAACACGUGGGCAACCUGCCCUGAAGCGGGGGAUAACAUCUGGAAACAGAUGCUAAUACCGCAUAACAACGAAAACCACAUGGUUUUCGUUUCAAAGAUGGUUUCGGCUAUCACUUCAGGAUGGGCCCGCGGUGCAUUAGCUAGUUGGUAAGGUAACGGCUUACCAAGGCGAUGAUGCAUAGCCGAGUUGAGAGACUGAUCGGCCACAAUGGAACUGAGACACGGUCCAUACUCCUACGGGAGGCAGCAGUAGGGAAUCUUCCACAAUGGGCGCAAGCCUGAUGGAGCAACACCGCGUGAGUGAAGAAGGUUUUCGGAUCGUAAAGCUCUGUUGUUGGUGAAGAAGGAUAGAGGUAGUAACUGGCCUUUAUUUGACGGUAAUCAACCAGAAAGUCACGGCUAACUACGUGCCAGCAGCCGCGGUAAUACGUAGGUGGCAAGCGUUGUCCGGAUUUAUUGGGCGUAAAGCGAGCGCAGGCGGAAAGAUAAGUCUGAUGUGAAAGCCCUCGGCUUAACCGAGGAACUGCAUCGGAAACUGUUUUUCUUGAGUGCAGAAGAGGAGAGUGGAACUCCAUGUGUAGCGGUGGAAUGCGUAGAUAUAUGGAAGAACACCAGUGGCGAAGGCGGCUCUCUGGUCUGCAACUGACGCUGAGGCUCGAAAGCAUGGGUAGCGAACAGG